rnacentral:rRNA from 1 species
GAUUUCUGACUUGGCGCACCUGGCCCGCCACGUUUACGUGUGUGAGUGCCGGGAUGCGCCUGUCACUUUUCUGGCGAACCAUUGUGCUCUUCACUGAGUGUGAUGGGUAGUCAGAUAUUUUACUUUGAAAAAAUUAGAGUGUUUAAAGCAGGCGUUUGCUAUGAAUACAUUAGCAUGGAAUAAUAAGUUAGGACUUUGGUUCUAUUUUGUUGGUUUCUAGGACUGAAGUAAUGAUUGAUAGGGAUAGUUGGGGGUGCUAGUAUUCAGCGGCCAGAGGUGAAAUUCUUGGAUUCGCUGAAGACUAACUUAUGCGAAAGCAUU